UCACAUUCCAGAACAUUUCACUCCCCAAGAAACUCCAGACCUAUUACCAGUCACUCCACAUUCCCUCCCCUCCUCUCUUACUCAGCGCCCUCACCUCCCGGCUCCCGGCAACCACUAGUCCAUGUUCAGUCUCUCUGAAUUUGCUGAUUCUGGAAAUUUCAUAACCGUGUAACCAAAAAAUAUGUGAUUUUUAACAUUACGUUUCUUUCACUGAUAAUGUUUUAAAGGUUCAUCCAUGUUAUACACUGUGUCAGUAUUUCAUUUUCUUUUAUUGCCAAAUAAUACCUCAUUGUGUAGACAAGCAACAUUUUAUCUAUUCCUCGGUUGAUGGACAUUUGGAUUGUUAAUUCUUUUUGGCUAUUAUGCAUAAUGUUGCUAUGACCAUUUAUGUACAAGUUUUGUGUAGAUAUACAUUUCCAUUUCUCUCAAGGAUAUACUUCAGUAGAAUUGCUGAGUCAUAUAGUAGUUCUGUUUAACUUCUAAAGAACUGUCAAACUGUUUUCCAAAUUGACUGCUCCAUUUUACAUUCCCAUCAGCAGUGUAUGAGGGUUCCAAUUUCUACACCAAUCUUUCCACCAGAACUUGCUAUUGUCCUUUUUAUUAUAGUCAUCCUUGUGGGUAUGAAAUGGUACCUCAUUAUACAUUUCCCUAAUAAUUAAGGAUGUUGAUCAUCUUUUAAUGUACUUAAAGCUAUCGGUAUCCAUAUAUCUUCUUUGGUGGAGUGUCUAUUCAAAUAUUCUGCUCAUUUAUUAGUUUUGGGGGGUUUUUUGGCUAUAGAGUUGUAUAGUUCUUUAUACAUUCUGAUAUAAGUCUCUUAACAGCUAUAUGAUUUGCAAAUAUUUCUCCCAUUCUAUGGAUUGUCUUUUAAUUUUCUUGAUGGUUUCCUUGCAAGCACAAAAGUUGUAUCUGUUUUUUUUUUUUCUUUGUCUUUUUGUGAUUUUGGUGUCACAUCUAAGAAACCAAUGCUUAAUUCAAGGCCAUGAAAAUUUGAUCUCAUGUUUU
ensembl:lncRNA